GUGCUCACUUCGGCAGCAUAUGUACUAAAACUGGAAUAAUGCAGAGAAGAUUAGCAUGGCCCCUGGGCAAGGCUGAAACGCUAUUAAGUAAAGUGUAUAAUUUCUAG
ensembl:snRNA U6 U6 spliceosomal RNA